CUCUGAGCACUUGUACCUGCGGAGCCCCGGGGGGAGGCAGCGUUAGAGAGUGGGGAAGCCCGCCCCUGGAGAGCUGACCAGAACAGGGCUUGGGAAACAUGACCCUUCAGGGGCGAAGGCAGCUGCUGAGCCUGGGUGGAGGUGAGAGAGGAGCCAGGGAUGGGGGCACUAGAGCUUUUGAAGAGGAAAGGGGGACUCACUGCUCUGAGGCCAGGAUCAUCUUGGACAGCAUGGGGUCCACGGGCAGCUCUGCCAUCUUCCGGCCCAGCUAGGAGAGAGAGAGACGUCAGAGACUCGUUCCCCCACCUUCUGAUCACUCCUUGGGCCCAUCUAGCCUGCUAUCCCAUCUGCUGGCCACCCUGGAUCAGACCCAUAGGCCCAUCUAGCUCUGCCCUUCUCUCCCCAAGACAGCAAAGCCCUCCCCAUGCUACGACUCACUGGUCAGUGUUAUCCCACAGAGGGAAGGGUGUGUGUGAAGAUUCCUUCCUGACCCCCAGGCAUGAGGCUCAGAUCCUGCCCUGGAGCAUGGGGGUGUCCCAACAGGGGAGUCCUGGGUCCCAACAAGCAAAGGUGCCCCUAGCAGCACAGAGACUCCCUACUUUUGCUACGGGAGGACCUCCCCCUUACCUUGGUGAGCUCCCCAAGGUGGUUGAGCGCGCCCAGGGCAUACAGCUGCUCCAGGGCCAGCACCAGGGUCUCAUGGGGUGGCGGGUCCAUGAAGUCAAAGUGGAUGAGGUCGUUGAUGCCUGCGAGAGAGAGGGGGCAGGCAAGGUGGCGGGAUUUAAAUCAGCAAGCAGGAAACCUCGAUUGAAAUCACCGCUCUGCCUCUUGUUUUGCAUUGGUACUUUGUAGUUAUUUGCCUAAAGCCAGAUUGAUCCUCACUGGUGGAGAACUGUUAGAACGUGCCAGUCUGCAUCUCCAGCUAGCCUUCGCAGUAACCAGACGCUUCUUUUUGCUAGCCAGGACACAGUAGAUGGAUACACCUUUAUCUAAGCAAUUAGAAGCUUUGCUGCUAUGGGCAUUCUUCAUUUUUACAUUGUUUAUGAUGUUAGAAAAUAGCAAAGGAUGGGUCUCCGGUUGAUGAACCGUUUACCCGUGAUGUGUCUCAAGCGGUGUUUUGGGAUGGAAAUUGGAAUUGGAUUUUGGCCUAAAAAACCAGCAUUGUAAAGUUGUAAAGCUGACCGAAAGGUGCUGGAGCCAUCAAAAAUAAACGUUUAGUUAAACGUGA